AUUGAACGCUGGCGGCAGGCCUAACACAUGCAAGUCGAGCGAGUGGCGGACGGGUGAGUAAUGUCUGGGAAACUGCCUGAUGGAGGGGGAUAACUACUGGAAACGGUAGCUAAUACCGCAUACCAUCGGAUGUGCCCAGAUGGGAUUAGCUAGUCGGUGGGGUAACGGCUCACCUAGGCGACGAUCCCUAGCUGGUCUGAGAGGAUGACCAGCAACAAGGGAACUGAGAAACGGUCCAGACUCCUACGGGAGGCGGAAGUGGGGAAUAUAGCACAAUGGGCACAAGCCUUGUGCAGCCAUGCCGCGUGUAUGAAGAAGGCCUUCGAGUUGUAAAGUACUUUCAGCGGAGAGGCGUUACCCGCAGAAGAAGCACCGGCUAACUCCGUGCCAGCAGCCGCGAGAAUAC
rnacentral:rRNA from 1 species